CUGCUAUGGCGGCCGGCAGGGUCCACAACGGCCCGCGGGGACGUACGGCGGCCCGCGGGGGCCACAGGAGCCGCGGGAGGCGGCCCGAGGGGGUCACAGCGGCCAGCAGGGACCUACGGCGGCCGGCGGGGGUCAUAGAGAUCGCGGGAGGCGGCCCCGGCUUUUGCUCAAGCUUCCGUGCCGACUGCCCCGCGGUCCCCCUGUCCCCGGGACACCCCCCCUUGACGCUGCUCGCUAGUCCUCCAGCUCGCGCGACCAGUGUUGUUUUCCUUCUUCGGGAGGAGCCCGGGGCGGGGGAAGGGGACCCUGGAGCCCUGGGCUCAGCCGGUCACGCUGUCUGCGGCCAGCGUGUGAGGGACGGGCACCGGGAAGGCGGCCCGGGGCAGCCGGCAGUGACUGGGAUCAGACGGUCAGCGCGGUGCCUUCAAGGUCGACACUGGGGGAGAUUUUUGUCUGUGCGGGAAGCUUUGAGACUGGGGUGUCCUGCUGCUGAAUUCCACGGGGUGCUGAGGCUAUUGACGGAGGACGUUGCCAGGCAACCCGGACUCCUCCAUUUACUUUAACUUCUACCCUCUUUAUUAAACUUUAAUGUGGAUAAAGAUAUUAAGCAAGUUACCUUCCUUUCUCUUCGUGCCUAUCCUCACGUGUAAAAAGACCAGUGAGCAGAUAAAUGAUCAAAAGCCCAGCAAGAGUCAGGCCUUAGCGGUGUGGACCGAAUAGGCUAUGGACCGAAUAAUCUGCCCGUUAAUUGCAAAGAACCGGCGAAUUUCAGCAUAUCAAGCGCAGGGCAUUUCUGAACUCUUCAGCAUGUUUCCGAACUGGAGCAGCCUUUGUUUAUGGCGAUGCUGUGUCUUUGAACUUACAAGUUGAAGUACACCUUGUGUUUUCAGCCAUGAAUCAUCUUUGUAGUUCUUGAGAAUUCCCACCUUGAACACGUCUUCCGCUGUAAUUCUGGACACAACUGCUAAGUUACUUACACUGCUGGCGUGUCCAGAUCUGUCUAAGGUGCCCUGAAUGGCUUUAGCAUGCCUAGGAUGGCCGUGUAAACUUUGUGACCUUAAAGAUGGGAAUCCCAAAGUUUGGUGUGUUUUCACAGACAGGGAUAAGAAAUGGUGCCUUCUAUCUUCGUUGUUUCCACUGUUAGCUGAGUGCUUUGAAAAUCCGACUUGUUCUGUCCGUGCAUAACAUCUGUUUGACUGAAACUUGGGGAGCUCGUUUCUCCUCUCUUAGAGUCUGCCUGCCUUUCAUCAUCUUCAGCUGAAAUCCCAACAUCUGGACCUAAUUUCGGCUCUGAGGUGCUCUUCACGUUGUCUGAUGCAAGUCGAUCGCCGUCUGGGGAUGCUGGCGUGCUCGUGCUGGGUGGCAGGCGAAGGCUGCCCCGACGCUCUGGGACCAGGUGCGUUCUUUGGUCCUUCUCUUCCUUCACACGGAAGGAACCGACUUUUUUCCUGAACCCCGUCCCUGGUGGCAUGCAGAGGGAAGUAUCCUCAUACAACAACCCCUCCCCGUUGAAAAGAUACCUGUACAUGCUGUAGCCAUCGGUACUGUUGAUGCUGCUUUGCCUUAGAAGGUACGUUGCAUCGCAUUCAGAAGAAGCCCGGGACCGGGUCUGCAUCAGGUCGGACUUGUCCAUUCCUGCGAGGUUUUCCAGCGCAUUCACCAUUCUGCUAGAUAGUUCUUCCAGUUGGGAAAGGCGAAGGUCAACAGUCUGUAGGGAAGUUUUCAUAAAGUUUUCUCUUUCGUUGAUUUCUUCCAACCUCAUGGACAUAUUUUCAACUCUGGCGGAUACAAAGGGAUAGGUUUAUUACACUGAGAUAAACUAAGGAUUAAAACCAAAAAUAUAAUGUUAUUGUUGCUGUAUGAUUUUGCAGGCUUUUGGGAAUCAUGGGCUGCUUGGGGCAUUUUUUUAAAAUUUUAUUUAUUUAUGGGCAUAUUUUUAAACUUCACACUCUCCUAAUAUAACUACUGAAAAUUACAGUGAGGAGCAUCAGAAAAUAAUAGAAAUAUGGUUAACGCA